rnacentral:pre_miRNA from 1 species
CUCGUACUCCCUCCGUCCGGAAAAGCUUGUCCCUCAAAUGAAUGUAUCUAGCACCAAGUUAGUGCUAGAUACAUCCAUUUGAGGAACAAGCUUUUUCAGACGGAGGGAGUAUAAC